GUCCAGUCCUCCUGCUGGAGCAGGAACACCUAGAUUAGGUUACACAGACCCGUUUCUCCCGGCCUCUCCUCACAGAGUAUGGACUUCAUACUCCUAACCCCUGUAGCAGCGCUUCACUGGUAGAUUUAUGAACAGAAAAAGGAAUCACAAGAGAUUUACAGCAAACGCGCGCUCAGGAAUAUUCAGUGUAAUCACUGAGCCACAGAACUUCCACUGAACAGAUGUUCCACCAGGAAACAAGACUGCACCCAGUGAAAACAGUACCAAAGCAAGCUAAUACGUCGGACAAGCUAGCCAGUGAGGCUUGAACAAAUGGAAUAGCAGCAAAUAAAGGCAAACUUCCAACAAA